GAUGAACGCUGGCGGCGUGCCUAAUACAUGCAAGUCGAGCGAACAGACGAGGAGCUUGCUCCUUUGACGUUAGCGGCGGACGGGUGAGUAACACGUAGGUAACCUACCUAUAAGACUGGGAUAACUUCGGGAAACCGGAGCUAAUACCGGAUAAUAUUUCGAACCGCAUGGUUCGAUAGUGAAAGAUGGCUUUGCUAUCACUUAUAGAUGGACCUGCGCCGUAUUAGCUAGUUGGUAAGGUAACGGCUUACCAAGGCAACGAUACGUAGCCGACCUGAGAGGGUGAUCGGCCACACUGGAACUGAGACGCGGUCCAGACUCCUACGGGAGGCAGCAGUAGGGAAUCUUCCGCAAUGGGCGAAAGCCUGACGGAGCAACGCCGCGUGAGUGAUGAAGGUCUUCGGAUCGUAAAACUCUGUUAUUAGGGAAGAACAAACGUGUAAGUAACUGUGCACGUCUUGACGGUACCUAAUCAGAAAGCCACGGCUAACUACGUG
rnacentral:rRNA from 1 species